GCCCACUCUUCUCCUUUCUGCUUCCACAGUAUUCAUAGAGCCAUAUAAGUGUAGGACUGACAGGGAGCUCAAUAGAUCAUCUAGUCCAGGCCCCUGCACUCAAGGCAGGAGUGCACCAAUCAAGGAAAGGUAAGAAUAUCUUUGGAUACAGACUGGCUAACCUAGUCAGAAAGGCUUUAAAUUAGGUUAGGUGGGGACAAGAGACAAAAGCCCACAGGUAAAUCAAAAAAACCAUGGAGAGCUGGGAGAAUGGUUGGAAUCUGGGGCUGAGAGAGGGGAGCAUAGGCAAUCAUAGCAGAGGCAAGAGGGAACAUAGAGGGGAAAUCAAAUCCGUAUCUUAGAUGUCUGUAUACUAAUGCAAGAAGAAUGGGGAAUAAACAAGAAGAACUAGAAAUAUUAGUGAAUAAGCACUACUCUGACAGUCAGAUCAUCCCGGGGUGGCCAAAAGUAGUCUUUUGUUGAAUGAGGACUAGGAUGGAACUGGAGCAACCAGAGGCAAACUGGGAAGAGAAGAGUAAGGAAAAUAAAAACCACAUGGAAAAGACUAGUAAAAAGAAAAAGAUGAGGGGAGGACGACAGAAAAGGAAAAACGAGAGAAAUGGCAUAGAAAGAAGCAGAGAUGGCAGCCACUGUAUCAGGACAUGGUGAGAAGGGUGAUGGGGAAGAUAGGAGAUGCCCAUUGAUCAGUCCACCCCAUGGGGAGUUGUGACAGGGUGUAUUAGGCCCUUUGAACCCCUGCUGGAGGAAUCCUGGUCCUACCACACCUUACCCCAAAAAGACAGCAGUAGAGUUGGUCCUCCAGCCUGCCUAGAGAGGCUGCAGGGAGCAGCCAAUCAGAGCCCAGCAGGCUCCUAUAAAAAGUAAGGAUGGUGCUCCUGGCUGGCCACAGUGCCUAGACAGAGCAGUUGCUGGCUGGAGCAAGGAGGGCAUUCUUGGUCGGCUUCUUCAGCCCUAGCUUAAGGGUGAAGUGUGUGUGCCUUGGCCGGAGGGCUGAGUUAGCGGAAACCUGCUUGAGAGCUUAACUGCCAACAGGGGACCCUGUGAGCAGAGAGUACAGGUGCAGACACACCCGACAGGAGGCUCUCACUGGAAACAAGUGGCCCCCUCACAGGGGCCCUUCCCAGGAAAAGAAUGAAGACUGAAGUUUCUGUCCUAGUUACAAAGAUUUAACCACAUUGGGUCAUAUUCUCAACCGGGUGGAAAUCGGCAUAACAUCAUCAGGGUCGAUUGAGGUAUGCCACUUGACACAAGCUAAGGAACUGGCCCACAGGUUUUAGUGCACAGAAAAUCUUUUCCUUACUGGUUUGAGUCAGCUAUUAGCUUAACUGUGUCUCCAUCCGGUAUUGAUUUUUUUUUAAUUUAUUUUUUAAUUCUGUAUAACAAACUAUUGGUGUUGACUGAGUAUAUUGUUUUGUUGAUUUGAUAAAUCCAUGUAUAAUUCUGAUUUCAGUUCUACAACAGGACACAACUGAAUGCCAUUUUAUUAAACUCUUUCUUUCAAGUUCACAGUACACACCAUGUAAUUUAAAGCAAAAUGUGAAAAUUAGCCCAAAAGGAAUGUAAAUUGUUUGUGUGUAAAUAACCUCUUGUAUGUUUAAUGCUUCCUUUAUUUUAUGAUUGAACU